rnacentral:lncRNA from 1 species
CAACUGGCCAACUCUCCUCCUGGGUGUAGCUGCUCUUUACUGUGAUCCUUCCUUCUGGACCAUUCUGAGUUCUGGCCCGUGGGACCGGAGAGCCCCUUUCACCAGGAUUUGGUUAGAGAAUAACGAAGGGCCAUGGUCAUACUCCCUGUAUCUCCCGGGCCAGCCUUGUGUGAAGAAAUGUUGAAGAAUGGCAUUGAGGGGCCUUUUGACGUGAUCUCUCCUGUAGGAGAAGGCCAACAGAAAGCCCGUGACCAUCCACACUGCAUUAAAUGCCUGAUGUGAGUGGAGGGUUCCCAAGACUGGGAGCUCCAAGGACAGCGUGGAGGACCACCUUCACCAGUGAGGAAACUGAGGCACAGGAAAGAACUCAGAUGUCUGGUGUUCUGUCCAGUCCACCUGAGCACCUUCUCUGGCACCUGCAGGUGUGUCUUUUGAGCCUUGCAAAGACACCAGACUUAAGCAACACGUUGUCACCACGGCUGUCCAGUGCCAGGGAGGGCAGGGUUAGAGCCCAGUUCUUGAUUACCUAGGCCCCCCUGCUGGGGUGCUCAUGCAUUUCGUGGGCCCUGCUUUGCUUGCCCUGGAGGGCACCUGCACUGAGUGCACCAAGAAGCACAAACGGCUGGCUGGGAGGAGCCUGCCCUGGCUGAUCAGCCACGGAUGCAUAUCCUGACAAGUUUUCAAGAUGCAGAUCAAGCCGUUGCUGGGCUUUGGGGAAAUGACUAGCAGACAGAGGAAAUCCGAGGGAGCGCCAGCAUAGGGAAGGCCAGCCAGCUGGGGACCUGGGUCUCCUCUGCAAGCUUCUGCAUCCUCAACUCAGGAAAUCCUUUGUCUUUCUCAAUGAAGCUCUGCAGCUUCUUGGAGACUCCAGAGAGUGGCAGGGCUGUAACCUCUCAUUCAGUAGCCCGAAGGUCAGUCACGAGGCAUUUAGUUGAAAGUACGCAAAAUGGCUGCAGCUGCUCCUCAGGCACUGGAGAACCCAGGCACUGGAGGGGGAGGUAAAAUGGCCAGACUCGGCUAAGGCUAAACGCCAUCACAGGUCCAGGCGUACUUGGUGAUGUGUUGUGCGUGUGCCCUGACUGUGUCCUCUCAUCCAGACCUCAUUUUUUGAGCACGUCCCCCAUGCUCCAUACACGGUUGAGCACUGCAGGGAACAGAUAGACGUCAACCUUGACCCCAGAAAUAUCCAGAGCGUUGGAGAGUGCCGCAUGUUCAAAGAAGAAGAGAGCUAAGUGGGAAGCAAGUGAGGGCAAUUGUUUAAGAGAAGCCCUAACAAAUGCCUGGCUCAGCACAAUGCCUCAGGAAUCUGCCCGGCUCCUCUCCACACACAGAGACAGUUAAGGUGCUGUUUAGGAGAUGAAGCACAUAAAAAAACACAUUCUUCCCGGUAAACAGCUUAGUUAAGGACACCAGAUAGGCAUUCAAGGGACUGCCUGCGUCUCUCCCUCGCUCCAGGCAGAAAUGCAGAUGUCCCGUGGCUAGUUUAAAGGAGUAUUUAUGAAGAGUCAUUUCAAAGCUUCUUGCUGGGCCUUUGCAUAGCUUAAGAGAGUGGCCAUUAAGAUGUGUCUGUCAGAUGAGAAAGCUUUUCACUCUAAGUAACAGAAAACCAGAUUAACUGUGUCUUAAACAUCUAGGGUGUUUAUUGUUAAGAUGUCUUCAGCCUUGUUGUCAGCUCCAGUGUGGAACCACCAAGCUUUCAGGAUUUUUUUUUUUUUCUGGGGUUUUCAUCCUCUCCUCAGUAACUCGCUCAAUGUUCAUCUGUGUACAUUGUAGACUCAUGGUGGCAAAAUGGCCGUUGAAGCUCCAGGCAUUAAACCCGUCUUCAAAGCAGGUAGAAGGGAAAAGACUCUCUGCUGUCCUGCUGAUGUAACUCCCCUCU